GGGGGGGGGGGGGGGGGGGCGGGGGGGGGGGAGGGCGGGGGGGCGGACGAGGGGCGUGCUCCGGUGAGGGGGGCGGCGGACGGGUGGGUAACACGUGGGUAGGCUACCUAUAAGACUGGGGUAACUUCGGGAAGCCGGCGCUACUGCCGCAGCAUAUAGUGCACCGCAUGGUUCACACGUGAACGACGGUUUUCCUUCCACUUGUACAUGGAUCAGCGCCGCAUUAGCUAGUUGGUAAGGUAACGGCUUACCAAGGCAACGAUGCGUAGCCGACCUGAGAGGGUGAUCGGCCACACUGGAACUGAGACGCGGUCGAGACUCCUACGGGAGGCAGCAGUAGGGAAUCUUCCGCAAUGGGCGAAAGCCGGACGGAGCAACGCCGCGUGAGUGAUGAAGGUCUUCGGAUCGUAAAACUCUGUUAUUAGGGAAGAACAAAUGUGUAAGUAACUAUGCACGUCUUGACGGUACCUAAUCAGAAAGCCACGGCUAACUACGUG
rnacentral:rRNA from 1 species